rnacentral:lncRNA from 1 species
UCACAUAUCUAAUGACCCAUUUCAUUGUUUUAACUGUGCUGAGGUUCUCCACUCUCCAGAGUGGAGUGAAGUAAAGUAAACAAGUGUUAAAAAGUUAGAGGGGACUAAGCAAUAUGCAGAUGGUGAAAAAGGGAGAAGAAAAACAUGGCAAUAAAACAAAGGACAAGAAAAAUAGAGGGGAGAAGAGAAAGAAAAAAGGAAUCAAGAGAGUUGCUUCAGUCUUCAAACCAACUAGACGUCUCCUUGAGUCACUCUGUAAUAAGCAAGCAGAUCAGAUGCUUUCAAAAGUCGCCCUGGUGAUAGAGAAGAGCCGAUAGCCACCAUCAUCAAAAGGGCUAGACAUAUCCAAAAAAAAACCUGUAGAACAGAAGACACCUUCCAUAAGGAGACAGCCUCACGCAGUCAACACCUAACAGAUCUCUAUGACUUUGAAGAAAAUUUAAAAAGAGAACAUCCAUAGGAGCUUCAUAUUAGAUCCCUUCCAGGCCUGAAAUCUCUGAUCGAUGGAUCACCACCAUGGAAAGACCAGCUACAGGGUUAUGAAACCCGAACUAAAGAUUGUG